CUUUAUUUAGAGUGAUGAACCUGGAUGUGUCGAAGCAAUGAUGUGGAGUCGGCCCUGAACAAAUCACCAACCUGCCCUGUUAUCCCAUGACUGCAGAUGCAAACAAUAACUGUGCCACUGCUCGUGAAUUCUGUAUCAAUGAGAAGAGAAUGGCGAAAAAAUAAAACAACACUAAAAGACAUGCCAAGAAGCAAGAAAAAAUGUCCAGCGAGGUGCUCUUCAUGUCCUAAGCUAGAGAACGAUCUCAAUAAUCGGGCUGUUGAAUGUCGACAAAAUGGGUACAUUGUCACUAGAACUGGAAUUAGUCUGCAUGCUCUGCAAAUGUCCAAAGACGACAAAUACAAGUCAGUAAAGCCAUCGAUGUUUGUCACAUCAGCGGGUUGGUGUACUCGCUUCAUGAAUCGCCAUGGUCUCUGUCUUCAUCAGCGAACAAAGAUAGCACAAAAGCUGCCUGGAAAGCUGGAAGAAAAAAUCAAAUCUUUCCAAAGGUUUAUUAUAAAAUAGCGAAAGGAAUAUGCAUUCAAACUGUCACAAAUAGGAAAUAUGGACGACACACCAAUGACAUUCAAUCUCCUGAGCAACAGAACAGUAACCGGUUUUGGUGAAAAAACAGUUUUAAUUAAAACCACUGGCCAUGAAAAAAUCCAUUUUAUGGUGGUUUUAUCAUGUUUGGCAAAUGGAUCAAAGCUCCCUCCUGUUGUUGUUUUUAAAAGAAAAACCUUGCCUAAAAACAUGAAAUUUCCUGCUGGUGUCAUUGUACGUGCACAGGAAAAGGGAUGGAUGGAUGAAAGUGGGACUAUUGAAUGGCUGGAAAAAGUGUGGAAUAAGAGACCAGGAACACUUUUUUCAAGAAAUCUGCUAUGCUCGUUUGGGACGUGUUCAGGGCACACAAGACAGAUGAGGUGAAAAAUGUGGCCAAAAAUAUGAAAACUGCUUUGGCUGUAAUACCUGGAGGCUUAACUUCAAUUCUACAACUGCUUGAUGUCUGCCUGAACAAACCUUUUAAAGACAGGCUACGCAAAAUGUGGUCUGAAUGGAUGUGCUCAGGCAUGGUGAAGUUGACAAAAGGCGGGAAUCUUAUGAAGCCUGAAAUCAAUCUGGUCACCCAGUGGAUCAAGGACGCAUGGGUGUCCAUUCCCUCAGAAAUGGUAGAAA